CAGGGUGUAGCUCAGUAGCGAAGAGUACCGGCCUUGGAAGCCGGGGGCCGCUGGUUCAAGUCCAGCCACCCUGACCA
rnacentral:tRNA from 1 species